ensembl:lncRNA
GGGUCAUGGGAGUAGCUUCAGGGGCCUGAGGCUGUGAGAAUGGUGGGGGGCGUGGUCCGGCUCACUGAGGUCCUCACCCUGGGCCGCCUGUGCCAGGACUGGGCCCCGGGGAGGGCCCUGCCGUGGCCUCCCGCCCCAAGACUGGAGCCCUGUCUGCCCCGCAAACCCCCAGACGGAGUGAGGCCCUGGAUGUGAGGUCAGGCCUUGAGUGCCAACAGCAGGCUCAGGGCUCCGUCCACCGCAGAGGGCCUCUGGGGGCGUGUGGGGACCCUGGGAAGUCAGAAUGCCUUCCGAGGACCUGCCAGGGGGCUGAGAGGUGUACCCUAGAGAAGAGAGUAGGACGGGGUGGGUCAAACGAGGAAGCAGGGUCAGCUCAGCAGAGAACUGUGGUCCUCGAAGUCUGCGGCCAAUACCGGGGACGUGAUUAGAAGUGUAGACUCUCAGGACCCGCUGAAUCCGGCUUUCUGAAUCCGAAGAGUCCAGCGGGGCCUCUGCCUGGGAGACGGGUCUUCCCUCCAGGCACACUUGCAGUCUGCAGUCCCUGGGCUGAAGGGUGGCGAAAAUUUUCCUUUAUGAAGAUGGGGAAAAUGCCAUGGUGAACCAAUUGGGGCAGAGAUGAGACACCCGCCCUGCCUGCCCCCCAUCUCAAGUGCAAGAAAAGAUGGUUCCCAGUGGAAGUGAAUUUUGGAAGGAUGCCAUGCGAAACAGUGUAGGUGAACAGCCUGGAAAUACAGAGCCCCUUUAUCCCUCCAGAGUAAAGCCAGGCAUGCUUACUGCCUGCUCCAACCGCCAGGAAAGACUCAGCUUCCCUGAGGCCGGGGCUCCUCUCCUAGAACACCACCACGGAGCACGCAGGUGCCCUCUGGCCCUCUGCGGGGCUCAGAGCUUGGGGAACUGACCCACGACGAUGCCGACACUUGGCUCCUGCUGCUGCCGUGAGCCGUAGACCAUCCUUUGUUCCUGAACCAGGCAUUUUGUGUCUUUGCCAGCAUCCGUGAAACCGUGGCGGCUCCCAUUUGUGAGCUUGCCAGUAGGGCACAUCUCUGACCGUCCCAGGUCCUGACGGGGUGGAACCUCUGGCUGAGUGAACGACUCCACGUAACACAGAGGAGGGGAGAAUCAAGGAAGAGAGCGGAGGAUGCCCGGGUGCAGAUCUGCCCAGGAGGGCCUGCGGGACCGGAUGCCCAAGGAGGAACCCCGGUAGUUGAGCAGCAGGCAAUGCAGGGGCCCUGCUGGGAACCCCCCAAGUCUCAGGCAACCUCUCACUCUCCCUAGUGCCCUGUGCGGGUAGCUGGGG